rnacentral:rRNA from 1 species
AGGGCUCGUAGGCGGUUGAUCGCGUCGGAAGUGGAAACUUGAUGCUUAACGUUGAGCGUGCUUUCGAUACGGGUUGACUUGAGGAAGGUAGGGGAGAAUGGAAUUCCUGGUGGAGCGGUGGAAUGCGCAGAUAUCAGGAGGAACACCGGUGGCGAAGGCGGUUCUCUGGGAAUAUCCUGACGCUGAGGAGCGAAAGUGUGGGGAGCGAACAGGAUUAGAUACCCUGGUAGUCCAUGCCGUAAACGAUGUCUACUAGCCGUUGGGGCCUUUGAGGCUUUAGUGGCGCAGCUAACGCGAUAAGUAGACCGCCUGGGGAGUACGGCCGCAAGGUUAAAACUCAAAUGAAUUGACGGGGGCCCGCACAAGCGGUGG